rnacentral:rRNA from 1 species
AACGAACGCUGGCGGCAUGCCUAACACAUGCAAGUCGAACGAGACCUUCGGGUCUAGGGGCGCACGGGUGCGUAACGCGUGGGAAUCUGCCCUUGGGUUCGGAAUAACAGUUAGAAAUGACUGCUAAUACCGGAUGAUGACUUCGGUCCAAAGAUUUAUCGCCCAAGGAUGAGCCCGCGUAGGAUUAGCUAGUUGGUAGGGUAAAGGCCUACCAAGGCGACGAUCCUUAGCUGGUCUGAGAGGAUGAUCAGCCACACUGGGACUGAGACACGGCCCAGACUCCUACGGGAGGCAGCAGUGGGGAAUAUUGGACAAUGGGCGAAAGCCUGAUCCAGCAAUGCCGCGUGAGUGAUGAAGGCCCUAGGGUUGUAAAGCUCUUUUACCCGGGAUGAUAAUGACAGUACCGGGAGAAUAAGCCCCGGCUAACUCCGUGCCAGCCGCCGCCGUAAGAC